GUGAAGAGACAUGAUCAGACUUUUGAGUUGAGUAUCUGAUUGCAACUCUAUACGUUCCAUUUGCAAGCUUGCAGGCAAUGUAUUUCUAUCAAAUGAAAGCGGUCUUGCAAACAUACAUUGGUGAUCUUUCUGGCAGUCUUGAAACCUGUUCUCAAACUCCUUUAUCAAACCGGCUGCGUGCCCUUAGCCGUUCAGAGCACCGCACUGAAAUGCGAACAGUCGCUGGUCAGCACCACACGGCCCUGCCCUCCCGCUGCCAGCGGGCACGGCGUUAACCGGGCGCUGGCGGUUGGUUGUUGCCGAGCGACGGGCGCGUACCCGGGGCUGCUCAGGUGAGGAGGCGCCGCCAUGAUGGCGCGGGGCGGCUGCCUUGUGAGCUGUGGCGGGCUGCACGUGGCUGUGCUGGGGGAGCUCGGAGCUCUUUCCUGCUAACCUCAGAGGUUCUCGUAGCUGUGAAAACGGCCUUCGUGUACAUAUGGCGUUCAGAUUGCUUUAAGUCGCGGUCUGAACGCGCACCAACGAUGAGGCGCUGUGAUUCCUUUUGUUGGGAAACAAAGGACUGGGAUUACGUAGCGGGUCAGCGUUGCACGGCCGCCAGAAGGAGCGGAGGUGACUGCGGAGUGAGCUGCAAAUGGCGAGCAUACAUACUUAGACAGCUCUGGGGACCUUGGACCUGGACACUGGAUGAAGACUCUGCCAUAUUGGAUAUGCCUCUAACCAUGAGAUUGCUGGUGGCAAAGAGAAAAGGGAUGCAGUGUGGAGGCAGCAGAUAACAAUAUGAAAUGCUAAAUAGUCAACUGCUUAAGGGAUCAUUUCUCCCUUUCUGUGUUCCCCAAGAUGAAUAACAUCAGCAGCAAGGAAACAAGGCCCAAGCACAGAAACAGCACAUCUUUUUGUGCGGUAAGCAAGGAUUUACUGUUGUUUUAAGUCAGAGACAGACAGGUAUCCACUUCACCACAAAACCUUGAGUUAGCUAAGCCUCAUCAUUCCACUACAGUGCAGAUAUUCUUAGGCAUCCCAGUUCCCACACACAACACAGCAAUCGCACCUGCAGCAGAUGCAGUCUUCCCAGAAAGCCAUCACAAGCCACUCCCUCUUCUACAAAAGGGGUGCAUCAUCACCCACUUCCCACCCCAUGGAAGCAAAGUUAGUCACUAGUAUUUUGGGGGCAUACAUAGAAUUCUGUUCUUCUCAUUUCAAUCUACAAAUUCUCCUCUCCAGUUUUGCUUGAGCAAGAAGAUAA
rnacentral:lncRNA from 1 species